GCCUGACCGUCUCGCUACGCUGCGCUCUUCCAUUUCCCCUCCCUCCCACGCCUGCCGAAAAGACCCCAAAGCCACCAACCACCGUCACCGAGCGGCGGCAAAAGUGUCAGCUCGCCUCGCGCCUGCCGCCCAGCCAUGUCCCCGCGGCGGCCGAGGGGUUCGCUGCGCUGCGCUCCCAGCCGGACCCUGGGCGCGACCACACGCACGCGCUCGGCCUCGGCUUCGGCUUUGGCGGCGGCGACGACGACGCAUCAGACUGCCACGCGUGCCUCCGGGCCGCCGUCACGGCAGCCACCGAGGGCUGCGCCAGCAACACUCGCCGCACGGAUGUCUGGAGCGACGGCUGCCUCCUGGCGUACUAUGCCGGCGACAUCGCUUCUUCCUCGAAUCCUCGUACACUGACGCUUGGAACACGAAAGAUCUCCACCGGUCCAUAUAAGAAGCUAGGGAGGCCAGACGAAAAUACUCCAGACGAAAUAUAGAUAUAGAUUUUGCAUUGGGAAUCUUAAAAAAACUUCUAUUUUUUUCUGUUCCACCACGUACCAGGGGCGGAUUCCAUGACCGACACAAACAUGGCGGUACUGCCGACGGGCGGGCAGAAAAUUUUGGGGGCAGACUGAAAUUUUCACAAUUUAUUAGUAGGUAUAGAUAACUAUUAGUAUUUUCUAUAAAAAAAAUAUCAAUUCUAACAUUCUUUAGCAUAUCACUAUUGUAGAAUUGUCCUUUUUUCCGGAUAAAACAGUAGAAAACAGCAUAUAUAUUUGUAGGAA